UGCAGUGUAGUUUAUAAAAAAUUUCUAUUUUACACGUAGAAGAACCCAUUUGAGGGCUUUGCUA
rnacentral:tRNA from 1 species